rnacentral:misc_RNA from 1 species
GAUGAAGAACGCAGCGAAAUGCGAUAAGUAAUGUGAAUUGCAGAAUUCAGUGAAUCAUCGAAUCUUUGAACGCACAUUGCGCCCCCUGGUAAUCCGGGGGGCAUGCCUGUUCGAGCGUCAUUUCACCACUCAAGCCUCGCUUGGUAUUGGGCAACGCGGUCCGCCGCGUGCCUCAAAUCGACCGGCUGGGUCUUCUGUCCCCUAAGCGUUGUGGAAACUAUUCGCUAAAGGGUGUUCGGGAGGCUACGCCGUAAAACAACCCCAUUUCUAAGGUUGACCUCGGAUCAGGUAGGGAUACCCGCUGAACUUAAGCAUAUCAAUAAGCGGAGGA